rnacentral:rRNA from 1 species
AUGUGUGCCAUGGAGGCUACGUUAUGUUUCAUAGCUCUAUCCAUCCCAUUAUAUCUUUUGCUUCUCAAGCUCGCCAGCGGCAGGAGCAACAACCCAAGAAAGCCGCAGCUACCGCCUGGACCAUGGACCAUCCCCAUCAUCGGCAGCCUCCAGCACAUCGUCAGCACCGUCUCGGAGUUGUGUUGCCGGCGUGUGCCACUGACCCUCCUCGAGCUCUGCAAGGACCCCACCAUGGAGGUCUUGAUCGCUGAGGUGGUCAGUCGAGUCCGCUCCAUUGCGGCCUCGGCGGGCGAUGCUGCGGUGUAUGUCAGCAAGAAGGUGGCGGCGCUGAGCAACGACAUCACGAGUCUGGUGGUAUUCGAGGGGCAGGAGGAAUGGACAUAUAUACCACCGCGAGGCCGGCGAGAUCAUUGA